AGUAGUCACGUAGUUGAUCCUGGCUCAAGAACGACGCUGGCGGCAUGCCUAACACAUGCAAGUCGAACGAGACCUUCGGGUCUAGUGGCGCACGGGUGCGUAACGCGUGGGAAUCUGCCCUUGGGUUCGGAAUAACUUCGGGAAACUGAAGCUAAUACCGGAUGAUGACGUAAGUCCAAAGAUUUAUCGCCCAAGGAUGAGCCCGCGUAGGAUUAGCUAGUUGGUGAGGUAAAGGCUCACCAAGGCGACGAUCCUUAGCUGGUCUGAGAGGAUGAUCAGCCACACUGGGACUGAGACACGGCCCAGACUCCUACGGGAGGCAGCAGUGGGGAAUAUUGGACAAUGGGCGAAAGCCUGAUCCAGCAAUGCCGCGUGAGUGAUGAAGGCCUUAGGGUUGUAAAGCUCUUUUACCCGGGAUGAUAAUGACAGUACCGGGAGAAUAAGCUCCGGCUAACUCCGUG
rnacentral:rRNA from 1 species